GCAGCACAUUGACUUCGCCAUGGAUUUGCUACGAGAUCGAGCUGAACGACAUCCAAGAUCAUUCAACAUUCCUGGCCUACUCAUAUUGAACACUGAGUUCAUACAUGCCGUUGACAUUGAGUACCAGACGUUCCAAACUAUGGGUAAUGAGUACACGGUGCUACAUACAUGAUGGAGUGGGUCGUAGGGAUGUGGUCGAGUGUCGGGAGAAAGCCAUGAGAGGGUUGUACACAUCUGUACAUUCCGGUAUGUGUCAAUCAUCACUACAUUGCAGUGGAGAUUGUAUUCGCCGACUCGACCAUGUAUGUGUAUGACCUCGAUCAUUCAUGCCUGACAUAAGGUCAGCUCGAGCAAAAUCUGUAGUCGAUGUCUAUGAUCAUUCCUAUGCUGGCUAGACGAGCGAAUAUUAUUAUGUAGGACAGACUGACCACCGUGCGGGACACGAUGAUAACUAGACGACAAAUAUCAUAAGUGUUUAUUAUUUUAUUUUUGUAAUUUACAACUUACGUUCCAGUUAGGCGGUGAUGUGCUAACACAAUUUUUUGUAAUUGUAUGGGUGAUUGAGGCAUAUUCGCUAUCAAGUACAUAGAAUUUUUUAGUAUAGCAUAGAAGGUUGAUGCAAUCAACCAGGCAUGGAUACAAAAUUGGAGAAAUAAAUUAUCUUGUGAUUUAUUUGAAUUUAAUGGUGAUCCGCAGAUAUUGGAG
rnacentral:lncRNA from 1 species